GAUGAACGCUGGCGGCGUGCCUAAUACAUGCAAGUCGAGCGAACGGACGAGAAGCUUGCUUUUCUGAUGUUAGCGGCGGACGGGUGAGUAACACGUGGAUAACCUACCUAUAAGACUGGGAUAACUUCGGGAAACCGGAGCUAAUACCGGAUAAUAUUUUGAACCGCAUGGUUCAAAAGUGAAAGACGGUCUUGCUGUCACUUAUAGAUGGAUCCGCGCUGCAUUAGCUAGUUGGUAAGGUAACGGCUUACCAAGGCAACGAUGCAUAGCCGACCUGAGAGGGUGAUCGGCCACACUGGAAGUGAGACACGGACCAGACUACUACGGGAGGCAGCAGUAGGGAAUCUUCCGCAAUGGGCGAAAGCCUGACGGAGCAACGCCGCGUGAGUGAUGAAGGUCUUCGGAUCGGAAAACUCUGUUAUUAGGGAAGAACAUAUGUGUAAGUAACUGUGCACAUCUUGACGGUACCUAAUCAGAAAGCCACGGCUAACUACGUG
rnacentral:rRNA from 1 species